CUUCCAGGGGUCCAUCCCCGCCAAGAAAUGCUGGACGUACCAUUGGCAUUCCAAGGGGUCCAUCCCCCCCAAGAAAUGCUGGAAGAUUUAUUGGCACUCCAAGGGAUCUAUCACCGCCAAGAAAUACUAGAAGGAUCAUCGCCUCACCAAGGGAUCUAUCACCGCACAGAAAUGCUGGAAGGAUAAUUGGCACUCCAAGGGAUAGAUCACCUCCAAGAAAUGCUGGAAGGAUAAUUGGCACUCCAAGGGAUAGAUCACCGCCAAGAAAUGCUGGAAGGAUAAUUGGCUCUCCAAGGGAUAGAUCACCUCCAAGAAAUUCCGGAAGGAUAAUUGGCACUCCAAGGGAUAGAUCACCUCCAAGAAAUGCUGGAAGGAGAUUUGAGUCUCCAAGGGAUCUAUCACCGCCAAGGAGCACAAGAAGCUUCAGUAGUGGUUCUAGGGCUCUGUCUCCCACUAGAAAUGUAGGAAGCUACAUGGGUUCUUCUCUGGGGUUUUCACCUCCUAGGAAUCCUGGAAGCUACAUGGGUUCUUCUAGGGGUUCUCCACGUAGUAACAUUGAAGAUUUUCAUGGACGAAGCAGGAUGCUUGAUGAUGUGAGAGCGACACCAUAUACUGUUAGAGGUGUACUAAAUGGUCAAGCCCCAGCAAGUGGUGCUCCUUUCGCCAGGCCAAUGUUACCGCCUCCAGUCCCAAACCCACAUCCGUUGCCUCCUUUGAGCCAGCUUCCUCCACUUGGAAGUAUGAUGCAGAACAAUCCCUUCUCUGUAAGAUCUUUUAUCUACAUCUCAAUUUGUGGAUGAAUUUUCUCUCUUCUUGCUCUUUCUAAACUUUGGGUGAGUCCUUCAUAUGUACCUUGUGUCAUUCGUAGGCCAAAAACCUUUGUGGUCAGAUAGUCCAAACUUUUAUGCCUUGUUCAUAUACAUGUUGUAAUAUGUCAUGUAUAUCUGCUUGGUGUUACAUUAGG
rnacentral:lncRNA from 1 species